rnacentral:pre_miRNA from 1 species
UAUGAGAAGUUCUUGGGCCAGUGUUGUAUCUGAUCAUUGAUCCAUUUGCUUCUCACAU